UUAAAAUCGCCAGUAGGGGGCAGAAAGUCACUGUUAAUAAGUGAGUCAUUGCGAUUGAACCGAGUCAUUUAAACGUUUGAUUCAUGCAAUAAAAACACUGUCAUGU